GACGUAGGGUGCGAGCGUUGUCCGGAUUUAUUGGGCGUAAAGAGCUCGUAGGCGGUUUGUCGCGUCUGCCGUGAAAGUCCGGGGCUCAACUCCGGAUCUGCGGUGGGUACGGGCAGACUAGAGUGAUGUAGGGGAGACUGGAAUUCCUGGUGUAGCGGUGAAAUGCGCAGAUAUCGGGAGGAACACCGGUGGCGAAGGCGGCGACCUGGGUCGACACUGACGCUGAGGCGCGAAAGCGUGGGGAGCAAACAGG
rnacentral:rRNA from 1 species